rnacentral:rRNA from 1 species
UGGGGAAUAUUGCACAAUGGGCGCAAGCCUGAUGCAGCCAUGCCGCGUGUAUGAAGAAGGCCUUCGGGUUGUAAAGUACUUUCAGUCGGGAGGAAGGUGUCAAGGUUAAUAACCUUGGCAAUUGACGUUACCGACAGAAGAAGCACCGGCUAACUCCGUGCCAGCAGCCGCGGUAAUACGGAGGGUGCAAGCGUAAAUCGGAAUUACUGGGCGUAAAGCGCACGCAGGCGGUUGAUUGAGUCAGAUGUGAAAUCCCCGGGCUUAACCCGGGAAUUGCAUCUGAUACUGGUCAGCUAGAGUCUUGUAGAGGGGGGUAGAAUUCCAUGUGUAGCGGUGAAAUGCGUAGAGAUGUGGAGGAAUACCGGUGGCGAAGGCGGCCCCCUGGACAAAGACUGACGCUCAGGUGCGAAAGCGUGGGGAGCAAACAGG